rnacentral:rRNA from 1 species
GACAGAGGGGGCAAGCGUUGCUCGGAAUUACUGGGCGUAAAGGGCGCGUAGGCGGGAUGGUAAGUCGGUCGUGAAAUCCCUCGGCUCAACCGAGGAACGUCGAUCGAUACUACCGUUCUUGAGGAUUGCAGAGGAGACUGGAAUUCCCGGUGUAGCGGUGAAAUGUGUAGAGAUUGGGAAGAACACCAGUGGCGAAGGCGGCUAUCUGGACGGUUUCUGACGCUAAGACGCGAAAGCGUGGGGAGCAAACAGG